rnacentral:rRNA from 1 species
GACGAACGCUGGCGGCGUGCUUAACACAUGCAAGUCGAACGAAGAGCGAUGGAAGCUUGCUUCUAUCAAUCUUAGUGGCGAACGGGUGAGUAACGCGUAAUCAACCUGCCCUUCAGAGGGGGACAACAGUUGGAAACGACUGCUAAUACCGCAUACGAUCUAAUCUCGGCAUCGAGGAUAGAUGAAAGGUGGCCUCUACAUGUAAGCUAUCACUGAAGGAGGGGAUUGCGUCUGAUUAGCUAGUUGGAGGGGUAACGGCCCACCAAGGCGAUGAUCAGUAGCCGGUCUGAGAGGAUGAACGGCCACAUUGGGACUGAGACACGGCCCAGACUCCUACGGGAGGCAGCAGUGGGGAAUCUUCCGCAAUGGACGAAAGUCUGACGGAGCAACGCCGCGUGAGUGAUGACGGCCUUCGGGUUGUAAAGCUCUGUUAAUCGGGACGAAAGGCCUUCUUGCGAAUAGUGAGAAGGAUUGACGGUACCGGAAUAGAAAGCCGCGGCUAACUACGUG